rnacentral:rRNA from 1 species
GAUGAACGCUAGCGGCAGGCCUAACACAUGCAAGUCGAGGGGUAGAGUUCUUCGGGACUUGAGACCGGCGCACGGGUGCGUAACGCGUAUGCAAUCUACCUUAUACAGGGGAAUAGCCCAGAGAAAUUUGGAUUAAUGCCCCAUAGUGUUAUCGAAUCGCAUGGUUUGAUAACUAAAGUUCCAACGGUAUAAGAUGAGCAUGCGUCCCAUUAGUUAGUUGGUAAGGUAACGGCUUACCAAGACAAUGAUGGGUAGGGGUCCUGAGAGGGAGAUCCCCCACACUGGUACUGAGACACGGACCAGACUCCUACGGGAGGCAGCAGUGAGGAAUAUUGGUCAAUGGGCGCAAGCCUGAACCAGCCAUGCCGCGUGCAGGAAGACGGUCCUAUGGAUUGUAAACUGCUUUUAUACAGGAAGAAACCCUCCCACGUGUGGGAGCUUGACGGUACUGUAGGAAUAAGGAUCGGCUAACUCCGUG